UGGGGGAUAUUGCACAAUGGGCGAAAGCCUGAUGCAGCGAUGCCGCGUGAGGGAAGACGGUCUUUGGAUUGUAAACCUCUGUCUUCGGGGACGAAUAAUGACGGUACCCGAGGAGGAAGCCACGGCUAACUACGUGCCAGCAGCCGCGGUAAUACGUAGGUGGCGAGCGUUGUCCGGAAUUACUGGGUGUAAAGGGAGCGUAGGCGGGUGCGCAAGUCAAAUGUUAAAUCUAUCGGCUCAACCGAUAGCCGCGUUUGAAACUGUGCAUCUUGAGUGAAGUAGAGGUUGGCGGAAUUCCUAGUGUAGCGGUGAAAUGCGUAGAUAUUAGGAGGAACACCAGUGGCGAAGGCGGCCAACUGGGCUUUUACUGACGCUGAGGCUCGAAAGCGUGGGGAGCAAACA
rnacentral:rRNA from 1 species